UUAAUAUAACAACGAAGGUAUUACGCCCAUGGUCGARAAUUUAAUUUUCGGCGGCGUGCACUGUGGGCCUCGCAGUGCACAGUGACGUUGCUCGAUGAUCUAUGUUUUAAGCCAUACUUGUUGCUUCGUAACUUGUUGUGCCCAUGACAUGGARACUCGGGUGACGAUGAGGCAUUGCUGUGGAGGAUGAACCUGUUGCUGUGGUGUGGAUGAAAGGUUGCUGUGGARAACGAARAUGGUGCUGUGUUGGUUGAUGAAAAUCUUCCAACGACGUGGUAUUGUGGGUCUCGCAAUGCCAUAAGUCAUGUUACUUGAUGAUCUAUGCUGGAAGCUUUACAUGUUGCUUUUGCGACUUGUUCUGCCUAAAACAUGGUGAUUUGGGUGACAACGAGGCCUUGAUGCGGAGAAGGAUGUUGCUGCGRAGGCGGAUGAAGGUGAUGCUGCGUUGGUUGAUGAAAGUCAUCCAAUGACGUGGUAUUGUGGGCCUCGCAAUGCCAUAUGUCAUGUUGCUCUGAACGUCUCGCUUUGAAGCUGUACUUGUUUGUUUUGCUUCAUUUCGGUGAUCUCGUGCAACGUUGAGGCAUGUUGGUUUGAUGAAAGUCAUCCAACGACGUGGUAUUGUGAGCCUCGCAAUGCCAUAUGUCAUGUUGCUCUGAACGUCUCGCUUUGAAGCUGUACUUGUUUGUUUUGCUUCAUUUCGGUGAUCUCGUGCAACGUUGAGGCAUGUUGGCUUGAUGAAAGUCAUCCAAUGACGUGGUAUUGUGGGCCUCGCAAUGCCAUAUGUCAUGUUGCUCUGAAUGUCUCGCUUUGAAGCUGUACUUGUUUGUUGUGCUUCAUUUCGGUGAUCUCGUGCAAUGAUGAGGCAUGGUUGCUUACCUUUGUUAUUCUUCUCGUAUCGUUCGGUGCAUUUUGGGGUCAUUUCAGCAUUUUGUUGUUUCCUUGGCUUUUAGCUAGGGUGGUGGCUAAGUGUUGGGUGUYUUCGGGGAUGUCUACCGUAAAGGUGCAUGAGUGGUAUUUGGUUUGUUACCGGUGGUUGGCUCUUGCUUGCGCAACAACUUCCACCUGGCUUACCUCUUCAGUUGCUUGCCAAUGCAUAAAGUAUUGGUUGGAUUGUGGGUUUCAUGUGUUGCCUACCAAAUUGAUGGUAUUGUAUUYUGAAAGAAUUCUGUUUUUUCAUCUUGCAUCGCAAAUGCGUUGUYUGAUGAACCUUGAAGCAUUCUUUAUGAUCCACUCUUUUAAUGCUUAGGUGUUAAUUGUGUGGCUCUUUUUGAGUUGCUUGGUAUCUUGGAUAUGGAACCUGAUGUGGGCAUGGGAUGUUUAUAUAUCCCUUGGUUGCCCUA
rnacentral:misc_RNA from 1 species